UAUAUAUCGUCUUUGUUAUAUAUUCACAUUCACUAACAAACAUGUCUUGGUACAACUAUGUUUUCGGUGAGCCGUCUGAGGCAGACACGAGCACGUUUAUUUCGGAUAGCAGUGUGGUAUAUCAUUUUUUUUAACUUAUUCUGUUUUUUUUAUUUAUGAAAUAGUUAGCACACCGUUUGUAUUAGGCGGGGGUCUAAUGUCCCUGAUUCUUACGAUUUGGGUGGAAAUGAUGAUCACGCGCACGAGAUCAUGUCUGGCUAGCGUCCCCGUCAUAAUGAAUCGUCGUUGCCAGACCUCAACGAGUCUACUAUGCCCCGCGAACCGUUGCUACCAGAUUUGAACGCGUGUAGCCAUGAUCAAGGUUAUAGGUCUCCGUUUUAUGAACCCGGUUACGUUCCCUCGUACGGACAGGAAGAAUAUGGCAAUAACGUUUUCGUUAGUGGUCCCUCGGGAGUACAAGGAGACCUUAGUCACCCUUCUUACGUGCAAGAGUCAUUGGGUGACGAUCCAGCCGUGCAAGAGUCAUUGGGUGACGAGCCACCCGUGCAAGAGUCAUUAGGUGACGAGCCACCCGCUUACCCUGAAGUUUCGUACAAAACUGAUCAGGUACGAA
rnacentral:lncRNA from 1 species